rnacentral:rRNA from 1 species
AGCGAACGCUGGCGGCAGGCCUAACACAUGCAAGUCGAACGAACCUUUCGGGGUUAGUGGCGGACGGGUGAGUAACACGUGGGAACGUGCCUUUAGGUUCGGAAUAACUCAGUGAAACUUGUGCUAAUACCGAAUGUGCCCUUCGGGGGAAAGAUUUAUCGCCUUUAUAGCGGCCCGCGUCUGAUUAGCUAGUUGGUUGAGGUAAUGGCUCACCAAGGCGACGAUCAGUAGAUGGUCUGAGAGGAUGAUCAGCCACAUUGGGACUGAGACACGGCCCAAAAUGCUACGGGAGGCAGCAGUGGGGAAUCUUGCGCAAUGGGAGAAAGCCUGACGAAGCCAGGCCGCGUGAAUGAUGAAGGUAUUAGGAUUGUAAAAUUCUUUAAACGGGGACGAUAAUGACGGUACCCGGAGAAGAAGCCCCGGCUAACUUCGUG